UGUCAGAGGAAAUGUCCAUCUCUCUUCACACAGAGGAGGAGGUUUCAUACACAGUGCCUGAUGUUCCCGAGAGAGUAGUCAUAGAAGAAAUAUUACCAAUUUCUAUUACUAAAAAAGUGAAGAAGCCGCCAGCUAAAGUGAGUGAAGAAGAGCCUUACUACAUAGAGGAGGAAGUACUUGUACCUGCUCCUAAAAAAGUGGAAGCCCCACCAGCUAA